AAGUCGUAACAAGGUUUCCGUAGGUGAACCUGCGGAAGGAUCAUUAACACUCCAAAACUUCUCAUAGCUCUGGGAAACCAGAGUUUAUGAAACCCUAUUCACCUUUAGCGAACCCGGCGGAUGAGAAAGUUGGAGUUUUUCGGCUCCUUUUCUCAUCUUGCUACUUUUUCUUUCGUCCAUUUCUUUUUCAAACCCCAAUCAUAUUUUUUCUUAUCGUCUGACUGGAGGAUUCGUUCGUUCUCGCGAUCGAGCGCAUCUUCCGUUGCUCUCGGCUCUAACCAGCCAAGGCAAUGAAAACUCUGAAAAACAAAAACAAAAAACAACUCUUAGCAACGGAUAUCUUGGUUCUC
rnacentral:misc_RNA from 1 species